rnacentral:misc_RNA from 1 species
GAUGAAGAACGUAGCGAAAUGCGAUAAGUAGUGUGAAUUGCAGAAUUCAGUGAAUCAUCGAAUCUUUGAACGCACAUUGCGCCCCGUGGUAUCCCGAGGGGCAUGCCUGUUCGAGCGUCAUUUCACCACUCAAGCCUGGCUUGGUGUUGGGCGACGUCCCCUUUGGGGACGCGCCUCGAAACGCUCGGCGGCGUGGCACCGGCUUUAAGCGUAGCAGAAUCUUUCGCUUUGGUAGUCGGGGCCCCGUCUGCCGGAAGACCUACUCGCAAGGUUGACCUCGGAUCAGGCAGGGAUACCCGCUGAACUUAAGCAUAUCAAUAAGCGGAGGA